AGCGGCGGACGGGUGAGUAAUGCCUGGGAAAUUCGCCCUCGAUGUGGGGGAUAACCAUUGGAAACGAUGGCUAAUACCGCAUAAUAGCUUCGGCUCAAAGAGGGGGACCUUCGGGCCUCUCGCGUCAGGAUAUGCCCAGGUGGGAUUAGCUAGUUGGUGAGGUAAUGGCUCACCAAGGCGACGAUCCCUAGCUGGUCUGAGAGGAUGAUCAGCCACACUGGAACUGAGACACGGUCCAGACUCCUACGGGAGGCAGCAGUGGGGAAUAUUGCACAAUGGGCGCAAGCCUGAUGCAGCCAUGCCGCGUGUAUGAAGAAGGCCUUCGGGUUGUAAAGUACUUUCAGCAGUGAGGAAAGGGGGGGGACGUUAAAAACGGGACUCCUUUUGAGUUAGCUGGCAAAAAAAAAACCCGCUUAAUUCCGUGGCCACCAGCCCCCGGGAAAAACAGAAGGGGGGGGAGCCGUUAUUCCGAAAUAUCUGGGGCGUAAAACGCAUGGGAGGUGGGUUUGUUAAUUCCCAAGUGAAAACCCCCGGCUUCAACCUCCCAAUUUGCAUUUGUAAACUGGCAGACUAAAAUAAUGUAGAGGGGGGGUAGAAAUUCAGUCGGAGCCGGUGAAAUGCGUAAAAAAACUGAAAGAAAUACCGGUGGCGAAGGCGGCCGCCCCCGCACAGAUAACUGACACUCACAUGCGAAAACGUGGGGAGCAAACAGCAUAAAAUACCCUGGUUAGUCCACCCCGUAAACAAUGUCUACCUUGGAGGUGGUGGCCUUGAGCCCCGGCUUUUCGGAGCUAGACGCGUUAAGUAGACAGACUGCGGAGUACGGGGCGCAAGACUAAAACUCAAAUGAAUUGACGGGGGCCCGCACAAGCGGUGGAGCAUGUGGUUUAAUUCGAUGCAACGCGAAGAACCUUACCUACUCUUGACAUCCAGAGAACUUUUCAGAGAUGGAUUGGUGCCUUCGGGAACUCUGAGACAGGUGCUGCAUGGCUGUCGUCAGCUCGUGUUGUGAAAUGUUGGGUUAAGUCCCGCAACGAGCGCAACCCUUAUCCUUGUUUGCCAGCGAGUAAUGUCGGGAACUCCAGGGAGACUGCCGGUGAUAAACCGGAGGAAGGUGGGGACGACGUCAAGUCAUCAUGGCCCUUACGAGUAGGGCUACACACGUGCUACAAUGGCGCAUACAGAGGGCGGCCAACUUGCGAAAGUGAGCGAAUCCCAAAAAGUGCGUCGUAGUCCGGAUUGGAGUCUGCAACUCGACUCCAUGAAGUCGGAAUCGCUAGUAAUCGUAGAUCAGAAUGCUACGGUGAAUACGUUCCCGGGCCUUGUACACACCGCCCGUCACACCAUGGGAGUGGGCUGCAAAAGAAGUGGGUAGUUUAACCUUCGGGGGGACGCU
rnacentral:rRNA from 1 species